GCUGGCGGCAUGCUUACACAUGCAAGUCGAACGGUAACAGGCCUUUGUGAUCCCUUCGGGGUGAGCUUGGCGCUGACGAGUGGCGGACGGGUGAGUAAUGCAUAGGAAUCUACCCAGUAGUGGGGGAUAACGUGGAGAAAUUCACGCUAAUACCGCAUAUGUCCUACGGGGCAAAGCAGGGGACCUUCGGGCCUUGCGCUAUUGGAUGAGCCUAUGUCGGAUUAGCUAGUUGGUGGGGUAAAGGCCUACCAAGGCGACGAUCCGUAGCUGGUCUGAGAGGAUGAUCAGCCACACUGGAACUGAGACACGGUCCAGACUCCUACGGGAGGCAGCAGUGGGGAAUAUUGCACAAUGGGCGCAAGCCUGAUGCAGCAAUGCCGCGUGUGUGAAGAAGGCCUGCGGGUUGUAAAGCACUUUUAUUAGGAAAGAAAAACCCGGAGUUAAUACCUCCGGCAUUGACGGUCCCUAAAGAAUAAGCACCGGCUAACUCAGUGCCAGCAGCCGCGGUAAUACUGAGGGUGCGAGCGUUAAUCGGAAUUACUGGGCGUAAAGCGAGUGUAGGCGGCUACCUAAGUCGGAUGUGAAAUCCCCGGGCUCAACCUGGGAAUUGCAUUCGAUACUGAGUAGCUAGAGUUUGGUAGAGGUAAGUGGAAUUCCAGGUGUAGCGGUGAAAUGCGUAGAUAUCUGGAGGAACA
rnacentral:rRNA from 1 species